GACGAACGCUGGCGGCGGGCUUAACACAUGCAAGUCGAACGGAAAGGCCCUGCUUUUGUGGGGUGCUCGAGUGGCGAACGGGUGAGUAACACGUGAGUAACCUGCCCUUGACUUUGGGAUAACUUCAGGAAACUGGGGCUAAUACCGGAUAGGAGCUGCUGCUGCAGGGUGGGGGUUGGAAAGUUUCGGCGGUUGGGGAUGGACUCGCGGCUUAUGAGCUUGUUGGUGGGGUAGUGGCUUACCAAGGCAGUGACGGGUAGCCGGCCUGAGAGGGUGACCGGCCACAUUGGGACUGAGGUACGGCCCAGACGCCUACGGGAGGCAGCAGUGGGGAAUCUUGCACAAUGGGCGGGAGCCUGAUGCAGCAACGCCGCGUGCGGGAUGACGGCCUUCGGGUUGUAAACCGCUUUCGCCUGUGACGAAGCGGGAGUGACGGUAAUGGGUAAAGAAGCACCGGCUAACUACGUG
rnacentral:rRNA from 1 species